rnacentral:rRNA from 1 species
ACGGAAGGCAGCAGUGAGGAAUAUUGGUCAAUGGACGCAAGUCUGAACCAGCCAUGCCGCGUGCAGGAAUAAGGCCCUAUGGGUCGUAAACUGCUUUUGUGGUGGAGCAAUAAGUCGUACGUGUACGGCGACGAGAGUACAUCACGAAUAAGCAUCGGCUAACUCCGUGCCAGCAGCCGCGGUAAUACGGAGGAUGCAAGCGUUAUCCGGAUUUAUUGGGUUUAAAGGGUGCGUAGGCUGUGGUCCAAGUCAGGGGUGAAAGCCCGGAGCUCAACUCCGGAACUGCCUUUGAUACUGGAUUGCUGGAAUACGGAUGCCGUGGGAGGAAUGAGUAGUGUAGCGGUGAAAUGCAUAGAUAUUACUCAGAACACCGAUUGCGAAGGCAUCUCACGAAUCCGUCAUUGACGCUGAGGCACGAAAGCGUGGGGAUCAAACAGGAUUAGAUACCCUGGUA